rnacentral:rRNA from 1 species
UACAGAGGGGGCAAGCGUUGUUCGGAAUUACUGGGCGUAAAGGGCUCGUAGGCGGCCAACUAAGUCAGACGUGAAAUCCCUCGGCUUAACCGGGGAACUGCGUCUGAUACUGGAUGGCUUGAGUUUGGGAGAGGGAUGCGGAAUUCCAGGUGUAGCGGUGAAAUGCGUAGAUAUGCGGAGGAACACCGAUGGCGAAGGCAAUCCCCUGGGCCUGCACUGACGCUCAUGCACGAAAGCGUGGGGAGCAAACAGG